rnacentral:rRNA from 1 species
AACCCGACUCCAUGAAGCUGGAUUCGCUAGUAAUCGCGCAUCAGCCACGGCGCGGUGAAUACGUUCCCGGGCCUUGUACACGCCGCCCGUCAAGCCAUGGAAGCCGGGGGUGCCUGAAGUGCGCUGCCGCAAGGAGCGUCCUAGGGUAAAACCGGUGACUGGGGCUAAGUCGUAACAAGGUAGC